rnacentral:rRNA from 1 species
CCUACGGGAGGCAGCAGUGGGGAAUAUUGGGCAAUGGAGGAAACUCUGACCCAGCGACGCCGCGUGCGGGAUGAAGGCCUUCGGGUUGUAAACCGCUUUCAGCAGGGAAGAAGCGAAAGUGACGGUACCUGCAGGAGAAGCACCGGCUAACUAUGUGCCAGCAGCCGCGGUAAU